rnacentral:rRNA from 1 species
AUUGAACGCUGGCGGCAUGCUUUACACAUGCAAGUCGAACGGUAACAGGCCUUCGGGUGCUGACGAGUGGCGAACGGGUGAGUAAUGCAUCGGAACGUACCCAGAGGUGGGGGAUAACGCAGCGAAAGCUGUGCUAAUACCGCAUGUGAUCUGAGGAUGAAAGCGGGGGACCGAGCAGCAAUGUUUGGCCUCGCGCCUUUGGAGCGGCCGAUGUCGGAUUAGCUAGUUGGUGGGGUAAAGGCCUACCAAGGCGACGAUCCGUAGCUGGUCUGAGAGGACGACCAGCCACACUGGGACUGAAACACGGCCCAGACUCCUACGGGAGGCAGCAGUGGGGAAUUUUGGACCAUGGGCGCAAGCCUGAUCCAGCAAUGCCGCGUGCGGGAAGAAGGCCUUCGGGUUGUAACCCGCUUUUGGCAGGAACGAAACGGUGUCCGCUAAUACCGGGCGCUAAUGACGGUACCUGCAGAAUAAGCACCGGCUAACUACGUG